GGAGGAAAGUAGGGGAUCGUAAGACCUUGCGCUUUUGGAGCGGCCGAUGCCUGAUUAGCUAGUUGGUGGGGUAAAGGCUUACCAAGGCAACGAUCAGUAGUUGGUCUGAGAGGACGGCCAGCCACACUGGGACUGAGACACGGCCCAGACUCCUACGGGAGGCAGCAGUGGGGAAUUUUGGACAAUGGGCGCAAGCCUGAUCCAGCAAUGCCGCGUGAGUGAAGAAGGCCUUCGGGUUGUAAAGCUCUUUCAGUCGAGAAGAAAAGAUUGUGACGAAUAAUCACAAUUCAUGACUGUAUCGACAGAAGAAGCACCGGCUAACUACGUGCCAGCAGCCGCGGUAAUACGUAGGGUGCAAGCGUUAAUCGGAAUUACUGGGCGUAAAGGGUGCGCAGGCGGCUUUGUAAGUCAGAUGUGAAAUCCCCGGGCUUAACCUGGGAAUUGCGUUUGAAACUACAAAGCUAGA
rnacentral:rRNA from 1 species